rnacentral:rRNA from 1 species
UACGUAGGGGGCAAGCGUUAUCCGGAUUUACUGGGUGUAAAGGGUACGUAGGCGGCCCAUUAAGUCAGAUGUGAAAGCCCGAGGCUCAACCUCGGGACUGCAUUUGAAACUGGUGGGCUAGAGUACAGGAGAGGAAAGCGGAAUUCCUAGUGUAGCGGUGAAAUGCGUAGAUAUUAGGAAGAACACCAGUGGCGAAGGCGGCUUUCUGGACUGUAACUGACGCUGAUGUACGAAAGCGUGGGGAGCGAACAGG